rnacentral:rRNA from 1 species
UAGAGUUUGAUCCUGGCUCAGAACGAACGCUGGCGGCGUGCUUAACACAUGCAAGUCGAACGCGAAAAGCCCCUUCGGGGGACGAGUAGAGUGGCGCACGGGUGAGUAACGCGUAGAUAAUCUACCCCUUUGUCUGGGAUAACAACUCGAAAGGGUUGCUAAUACCGGAUAGUUUCCUUUUUGGAGGAAAGGUGACCUCUUCAUGAAAGUUGCCGCAGAGGGAUGAGUCUGCGUACCAUUAGCUAGUUGGUCGGGUAAAGGCCUACCAAGGCGACGAUGGUUAGCGGGUCUGAGAGGAUGAUCCGCCACACUGGAACUGGAACACGGACCAGACUCCUACGGGAGGCAGCAGUGAGGAAUAUUGCGCAAUGGAGGCAACUCUGACGCAGCGACGCCGCGUGGGUGAAGACGGCCUUCGGGUUGUAAAACCCUGUCAGGUGGGAAGAAGUGCUGGGUAGUUAAUACCUGCUCAGUUUGACGGUACCACCAGAGGAAGCACCGGCUAAAUCCGUGCCAGCAGCCGCGGUAAUACGGAUGGUGCGAGCGUUGUUCGGAAUCACUGGGCGUAAAGGGCGCGUAGGCGGCACUGCAAGUCAGAUGUGAAAGCCCAGGGCUCAACCCUGGACGUGCAUCUGAAACUGCAGAGCUAGAGUACUGGAGGGGAAAGUGGAAUUCCCGGUGUAGAGGUGAAAUUCGUAGAGAUCGGGAGGAAUACCGGUGGCGAAGGCGACUUUCUGGACAGAUACUGACGCUGAGGCGCGAAAGCGUGGGGAGCAAACAGGAUUAGAUACCCUGGUAGUCCACAGCCGUAAACGAUGAGAACUAGGUAUAGGGAGUGUUGACCCUUUCUGUGCCGCAGCUAACGCAUUAAGUUCUCCGCCUGGGGAGUACGGUCGCAAGGCUAAAACUCAAAGGAAUUGACGGGGGCCCGCACAAGCGGUGGAGCAUGUGGUUUAAUUCGACGCAACGCGAAGAACCUUACCUGGGCUUGACAUCCUCUGACCGCCCUGGAAACAGGGUUUUCCCGACUCUGUCGGGACAGAGUGACAGGUGCUGCAUGGCUGUCGUCAGCUCGUGUCGUGAGAUGUUGGGUUAAGUCCCGCAACGAGCGCAACCCUUGUCUUUAGUUGCCAGUAUUAAGUUAGGCACUCUAAAGAGACUGCCUCGGUUAACGAGGAGGAAGGUGGGGAUGACGUCAAGUCCUCAUGGCCUUUAUGCCCAGGGCUACACACGUGCUACAAUGGACGGCACAAAGGGUCGCUAAUCCGCGAGGAGGAGCUAAUCCCAAAAAGCCGUUCACAGUUCGGAUCGAAGUCUGCAACUCGACUUCGUGAAGGUGGAAUCGCUAGUAAUCGUGGAUCAGCAUGCCACGGUGAAUGCGUUCCCGGGUCUUGUACACACCGCCCGUCACACCAUGGGAGUUGGUUCUACCUUAAGGCAAGGUUUCAAACCCUUGACCACGGUAUAGUCAGCGACUGGGGUGAAGUCGUAACAAGGUA